UGGGGAAUAUUGCACAAUGGGCGCAAGCCUGAUGCAGCCAUGCCGCGUGUAUGAAGAAGGUCUUCGGGUUGUAAAGUACUUUCAGCGGGGAGGAAGGGAGUAAAGUUAAUACCUUUGCUCAUUGACGUUACCCGCAGAAGAAGCACCGGCUAACUCCGUGCCAGCAGCCGCGGUAAUACGGAGGGUGCAAGCGUUAAUCGGAAUUACUGGGCGUAAAGCGCACGCAGGCGGUUUGUUAAGUCAGAUGUGAAAUCCUCGGGCUCAACCUGGGAACUGCAUCUGAUACUGGCAAGCUUGAGUCUCGUAGAGGGGGGUAGAAUUCCAGGUGUAGCGGUGAAAUGCGUAGAGAUCUGGAGGAAUACCGGUGGCGAAGGCGGCCCCCUGGACGAAGACUGACGCUCAGGUGCGAAAGCGUGGGGAGCAAACAGG
rnacentral:rRNA from 1 species